rnacentral:rRNA from 1 species
CGGUGGGGGCUGCUACACAUGCAGUCGCACGGGGUAGCAAUACCCAGUGGCGAACGGGUGCGUAACACGUGAGGAACCUGACUACCGGCGGGGGAUAGCCGGCCCAACGGCCGGGUAAUACCGCGUACGACCUUCGGGGGGCAUCCCCCGGAGGUGAAAGCAGCAAUGCACCGGUGGGGGGCCUCGCGGCCUAUCAGCUAGUUGGUGGGGUCACGGCUCACCAAGGCGACGACGGGUAGCUGGUCCGAGAGGAUGACCAGCCACAUUGGGACUGAGACACGGCCCAGACUCCUACGGGAGGCAGCAGUGGGGAAUCUUGCGCAAUGGGCGAGAGCCUGACGCAGCGACGCCGCGUGUGGGAUGACGGCCUUCGGGUUGUAAACCACUGUCGGGAGGGACGAAGCUCUGACGGUACCUCCAAAGGAAGCACCGGCUAACUCUGUGCCAGCAGCCGCGGUAAUACAGAGGGUGCGAGCGUUGUCCGGAAUCACUGGGCGUAAAGGGCGCGUAGGCGGCCCGGUAAGUAGGGGGUGAAAUCCCGCGGCUCAACCGCAGGGCUGCCUUCUCGACUGCCGGGCUGGAGCACGGUAGAGGCUGGUGGAAUUCCCGGUGUAGCUGUGGAAUGCGUAGAGAUCGGGAAGAACAUCGGUGGCGAAUGCGGCCAGUUGGGCCGUUGCUGACGCUGAGGCGCGACAGCGUGUGGAGCAAACAGAUUAGAUACCCUGGGUAGUCCAUGCCCUAGACGACGAGUACUAGGCGUCGGGGGGAGCGACCACCUCCGGUGCCGACGCUGUUUGAUCCGUACCCUGUCGGGCGAGUACGGCCGCAACGGCUGAAACUCACCGGAAUCGACGGGGG